rnacentral:rRNA from 1 species
CGCAGCCGCGGUAAUUCCAGCUCCAAUAGCGUAUAUUAAAGUUGUUGCAGUUAAAAAGCUCGUAGUUGAAUUUCGGGGUUAGUAGGUUGGUCGUGCCACCGGUACGUACUGGUCUCACUGAUUCCUCCUUCCUGAUGAGCUGUAAUGCCAUUAAUUUGGUGUUGCAGGGAAUCUGGACUGUUACUUUGAAAAAAUUAGAGUGUUUAAAGCAGGCUAACGCUUGAAUACAUUAGCAUGGGAAUAAUGAAAUAGGACGUUCGAUCCUAUUUUGUUGGUUUCUAGGAUUGACGUAAUGAUUAAUAGGGAUAGUUGGGGGCGAUUAGUAUUCAAUUGUCAGAGGUGAAAUUCUUGGAUUUAUUGAAGACUAACUACUGCGAAAGCAUUUGCCAAGGAUGUUUUCAUUAAUCAAGAACGAAAGUUAGGGGAUCGAAGACGAUCAGAUACCGUCGUAGUCUUAACCAUAAACUAUGCCGACUAGGGAUCGGAUGAUGUUAAUUUUUUAAUUGCUCAUUCGGCGCCU